rnacentral:rRNA from 1 species
GUAACAUAUAGUUAAUGUACCUUCAAGACUGGGAUAGCCACUGGAAACGGUGAUUAAUACUAGAUAUACCUUCAUAUCAAAAGCUAUGAAGGGAAACGUUUUUUCGCUUGAAGAUCAGACUAUAUCCCAUCAGUUAGUUGGUAGGGUAAUGGCCUACCAAGGCAAUGACGGGUAGCGGGUUUGAGAGGAUGAUCCGCCACACUGGUACUGAGACACGGACCAGACUCCUACGGGAGGCAGCAGUGAGGAAUAUUGCACAAUGGAGGAAACUCUGAUGCAGCAACGCCGCGUGGAGGAUGACGCAUUUCGGUGUGUAAACUCCUUUUAUGAGUCAAGAAAAUGACGGUAGCUCAUGAAUAAGCACCGGCUAACUCCGUGCCAGCAGCCGCGGUAAUACGGAGGGUGCAAGCGUUACUCGGAAUCACUGGGCGUAAAGGACGCGUAGGCGGGAUGUCAAGUCAGGUGUGAAAUCCUAUGGCUCAACCAUAGAACUGCAUUUGAAACUGGCAACCUAGAGUAUGGGAGGGGGAGAUGGAAUUAGUGGUGUAGGGGUAAAAUCCGUAGAUAUCACUAGGAAUACCUAAAGCGAAGGCGAUCUCCUGGAACAUAACUGACGCUAAGGCGUGAAAGCGUGGGGAGCAAACGGGAUUAGAUACCCCGGUAGUCCACGCCCUAAACGAUGAACACUAGUCGUCGCUCUGCUUGUCAGGGCGGUGAUGCACUUAACAGAUUAAGUGUUCCGCCUGGGGAGUACGGUCGCAAGAUUAAAACUCAAAGGAAUAGACGGGGACCCGCACAAGUGGUGGAGCAUGUGGUUUAAUUCGAAGAUACGCGAAGAACCUUACCUAGCCUUGACAUUGAUAGAAUACCCUAGAGAUAGAGUGGUGCUCUUCGGGGAACUUGAAAACAGGUGCUGCACGGCUGUCGUCAGCUCGUGUCGUGAGAUGUUGGGUUAAGUCCCGCAACGAGCGC